rnacentral:lncRNA from 1 species
CCUGGAUUUCUGGAUGAAAUUUAAAGUAUGUUUGUAGAGUGAAAACGUAAAAGCUGACUGGAUGAAAGCAUGGGCAUUUUGUAAGUUGAUUAUGUCAAAAAGAGUAGAUGAAUUUUUACCUCAUUCGAAAUAUGAAUGUGAACAAUAUGGUCUUUUCAUAGGUAGUUUAGUCGAAAUAAUGUACUAUUAUUUUCCAUAACUUGGAUUAACUGAUGGGGCAAUCAAUCAAAUUAAUCCAUCCAAGCAUUUUUAUCUAUAAAUUUGCUUAUAUUUUUUCUAAUAAAAAUUUAAGGUAAGGGGAUUACGAUAUUACGAGUAAGGUGGAACUAGGUCAGACCAGUCUACAUGUACUAUACUUUUAUGUUAAUCAGGCAGAGUGAUUAAGGCUUCUUUACAAGCCUAGUGCGGCUUUGGAAUGGAUCAUGGAGUUUAAGUUCAAUUGGAUUAUUUUUUCGAUGGACUCCAAGUUAGUUGUCGACAAAUUUAAUCGACACCUCUCAAUAUAACACAAAUGUAAACACCAUUCUUGCUAGAUGUAGGUUUUUAAUGAGUUUUUGUACAACUCUCAUGUGAAGUUUUGUGCGAGACAUGCUAAUAUAGUUGUUCAUUGCCUUGCAAAGACGACCAUU